UACGGAGGGUGCAAACGUUGCUCGGAAUCAUUGGGCGUAAAGCGCACGUAGGCGGCCUGAUAAGUCGGGUGUGAAAGCCCUGGGCUCAACCCAGGAAGUGCACUCGAAACUGUCAGGCUUGAAUAUGGAAGAGGGUCGCGGAAUUCCCGGUGUAGAGGUGAAAUUCGUAGAUAUCGGGGAGGAACACCAGUGGCGAAGGCGGCGACCUGGGCCAAUGAUUGUACGG
rnacentral:rRNA from 1 species